AUGAAACAUUGAAUGCAACUCUGUACUAUGGAGGGUAGCUCUCUGGAUUUGACACACAAGUCAAAUAGAAAGUUGAGUGUAAGAAUAUAGAAGACACCCUUUACUUUCCUGCUGAGCUUUAACCUCUAUGACAGAUGCAGCUCCUGCCUGUCAUGAUAAGGUUGGCACUGCAGGGCUGUCUGCCUUGUGGCUUUGAAUGCUGCCCUCGUAACCAUCUCAUAGAGGAAAGAGAGCAGAAGAAAGAGCUGCUACCUGAAACACGUAAGACCACUAUGAUCCAUGCAUUAAGCCUUGAGGGCAUGUCUAAUGCAGCCUUUCCAGCCUCCACGUGUUUGGAAGUGAGCGAACAAAGCAAGCAUCUCCCAUGAUCAAAAGUGCGUGCUGCUUUAGUUGAGUUGUAGGUAUUUUAGCAGCUGUUUUUUGUUGUUUAAAUAGACUAACCACAAAGUGCUUUUUCUCUUGAAAUGUCUAGCUUCUGGUUCCUUGUUUUUUCACCCCGCUCAAGAGAAAGUAAUUCUCGUGACUGCUGUCUCUCCCUCCCAGGCUCUCUCAGAUAACGCUCCACAUCCCACCAGCUCUCAGCCGCUUGGUUUGUGUGUCUUUCAGCAGGCCAUCUCUGAGGUUGGACCAUUGGGAUGGAGGGACAGAAAUGAUGGAUCUGUGGCCCUGCUGAAGCUCACAGCCCUGCCGAUUCCACUAGCCUUUCUUCGCGUAUACUCAGCUGCAUGGAGUGCACAGGACACAGCAUCUUUUCUGCCAGUUUACCCAUGAACUCAUAGCUCUACUGUAGGUUUUUCUUGUCCUGAAAUAAGCGAAUACACCUACCAGGUAAGAUCACAUGAAUUAUAGUGUGUCAUCUAGAGGUGGUCUAACUCCUAAUAUUUUAAAAAACAAAAUUUACUUAAGACCCUCUUCCCAUCAAUUCAUUUGUAUUGUUUAGAAGUUAGUUCUUACCAGGAGUACUGCAGAUGGGAUAUAAAAGAUUUGGGUAGGGACCUUUUGCUCAUACAGUCUUUUGUUGAAUUCUGUCACAUAGUCCUGGGCAGUCAUUUGCCGUUCCACAUCACUGAAAUGAUGAAGAAGCCCCUUUUCUUGUUUAUAUUCUUUCCCGACAUACCUAAACAACACAGUGAUACAGAAACAUCACUACAAAGCAGAGCUCAGCUUUUCAGAAGCAAAGUCAGCUGUUGGUGGUAUGUUUAAAAUGGCAGUGUUUUUUUUUCUUUUAUAGCUCUUAGAGACAUAAAAUAUUGUACUGAUCAAUCAAAUCCUAUGAUGGGGGUGUUUAAAGUCAGCUCUUCUUGACUUUGUAUGGAGAUCCUAUUUAGAGAUACUUAAAAUACUAUUCUUAACCCAUAAGAAUUCUUAAGCUGCUUCUAGUAACAAUGCAAAACCUGCAACUAGCAGUUAUCAGAGCUCUUCUGGUGCACAGGCCUUUAUCAAGCAAAUAGUUGAUUUUAAUCCUGCUUUCAGAGAAGAUGCAUCCAUUGCAUAAACCCACAGCUAAAAUUAAAGAAAAGCAACUUAAACACCUUUUUGCCUAUAGGUGUUGAGAUAUUUACAUAUAUAUAUCUGUAUAUCUUGCUAUGUGUAUAUGUAGAUAUAGCUAUAUUACUAAUUCUCUAAUGCAAUGCUAGAGGUCAAGUUAAACGGAAGAAACAUUUAAGAUCUCAUGAGAUUAUCCCAGCACAGACAAAAGCGAAGUGAGGCCUAAGAGCUGUCAUGAGAAAAGAGGCACUAACGUGGCAGUUAGAAAACAACAGUGAAGUAGAUUUUUCUUCCCAGAAAUUCAACAGUAGAGACUUACAUGGGGUGAUGGGAAGAAUUAGCAUAGUAGAGAUUGCCAAAGUGCCCAAGAGAUUUGGGAAAGCCAUAAAACAUUCUUGCUACAGGAAACCACUCGAAAUCUAACCAAACGUAAACUAGGUUGAAACAGAAUAGAAAAGCAUCAAUCUUCUCCCACUGUAACUAUGAUUUCUGUAGCUGUCCAAGUAAAAACUUGUACUAUCUUCUGUACUUGCUAAAAGCUACUGUCCAACAAGGCACUGGACUAGUUGAAUCAUAGGUAUAAGGCAAACCUUACCAGACAGUUUCCAUUCAUAUUUACAUAGAAGUAGCAUUAAUAAACAUUUUGUUUCAGAAAUUGGUUUGGUCAAUACCUUCCCAGGCUUUCUUCUUGGUGCAGGAAGUGUAUCCAAAAUGCACUUCUCUGUUUGCCUUCCUUUGCCACGUUCAGGUAGUCUCCAAUGAAUACAGCUGUUUCUUGGCCUGUCCACAGGCCCGAUUUCUUUGAGUACUUUAAAAGAAGAGCUGCUACAAAAAGAAAACACCAUAGGUAUAAGAGAUAGUUCCACAGGACAGCUCUAAGCCUGUGCUGAGGAUAUGCAGCCUCCUCUGAAAGCAAAGUAUUGGUCUAUAAAAUAUACAGUAAGAGAUAUCUAGAUGCAGAAUUGGAUAUUCUACAUCAAUGACAAAAAGUGGGGCUUGAGACAUGCAAGAUGGGAUGAGCCCUAAGUGGGUUGUACUUACUGAGUUCAAUGAGGCAUCCUAUAGCGGUGCUGCUCCUAGCUUCUGUAUUUCUUAGUAUAUUGAUCAAGUGUCUGUAUAUUAAGGUAUGGUAAAUAAAUAGGGCCAUUAUUUAUGAUUAAUUUAAUAAUAAUUAUCUCACAUGUGGUUUUCGGGGAUGAAAUGUGGAAUCUAAAUGGGCAACAAAACCAGAGACUCAAGUAAUGGUGCAGAAAGAACUUGAUGAACUGGCACAAGGGAGUUCAAGCAGCCUGAGUUACCUCUAGUAUGAAGGGACUGAAGCAGGAGGGACUGAGUGGGCAUGAAGGAGCCCAUUUCCAUGAGGCUGGGACUGAUGUGCAAAGGGGAAAGAAUGAAUAGAAGAAAAUGUUUCAAGGGAACUAUGCUAUUACUAGAUGCUACUAGUAUGUAGUUAGUUAGUUACUAGUAUGCUAUAACUAAAAUUCUUGUACAGAAACUCAUAAACCAACAGAAAUGAAGUCCUAAUAAAUGAUGACUAAAACAUUGCUAGAAAGCCUCAGUCAAGACUGUUCUCUGUAGGAGCACCUGUUGUUGUGUGAAAAUGCCCACUGCUGUAUGGAAACUUACAGUAUGCUUUAUGAAGCUGAUUAGGCUUAAAAAUUCCAGUAGGCAUCAGUCUCUGGACAAGCCAAUUAUGUUCUACCCCUGCCAGAAGCUGCAUGUAAUCAUCGUCCCUCAGAAAUCGAGCAUCAAGGACUUCUUCCUUUGUUCUCCCAGGUGUGAAGAGAAAACCAUUUCCCCUUGUGUUCAGAAAUGCACCUUCAGGGGAAUUCUUGGGCAUCUGUGCUGGUUUGUACCAUGAACUCAGAGAUGAACUGGACUGUCUCUUGCUGCUCACCACGUCCUGAGACUUUUCUUCAUUUUCCUCAGUAGUGGCACAUUCAAAGUGCUUGGUUAUGGAUAUCUUUCCCCUCAAGGACAAAGCUGUUCGUGCACUGGGAGUUGGCUGACGCUCUGGAACUGAUGCCGCAGGAUAAUUGUUUACUAAGUCUCCAAUUCUGACAAAAUCAUAUUCAGUGUCAUCUUCAUCUCUUGUUUCUGCUUGAGGAUCUACGUGGGGCACUUUGACUGUUAUGUUUCCCACCACGGCAGAUUUCCUCAGCCACUCACACACAGAGGAGUCACUGGCCGUUUUUGGAAAGAUGCUCCUCGACAGCACUGCAGCAGCACCGCCCUCCCUGCCGCUGUCCAGGGUGCUGCAGCCCGGGCCCACGGGCGGGGCUCCGGCCACCGCCUCCAGCUCCGCCCAGGACGAGCCGGACUCCUCCUCUUUCUCCUUCUUCUCCUCCUCCGACUUGGUAGGAACAGACCAAGACGUGGAGAGGGAUGGAACGGCGUUAUUAUCUAUGUCUGUGUUAUCCACCUUCCCAGCUUUCUUUUCUGAAGAGCUCCUUCCAUGGUGUCUUCUCUCACGCAGCUUUUCUCCACCGAGAGAAGCCUUCUCCACCAGCCUCCCAGCUAGGGGUGUAUCUACCUCUUGGGAAGGUGGAGGAGAUCCCAAAUUGCUAUUUGAAGGCUCUGGAGGACAAGCAUGGCAGGCUCUGCGAGGCAAUGAACGCAAGUAUGCAGCUUGACCAUUUUCAUCAGAUUCCGUUGUGCAACACUGCUCCUCCGCUGAGGCCUUUUCCUGCUGAGACCCUUUGCUGCUAUUAUAGUCCAGUUCCUCCCAGCUGGAGGAGUAACUUGAUUUUGACAGCUUGCACCAAGAAUUCUGUGAAGUAGUCAUUUGACUCCUGUUUUGCCACCUGCUGAAACUGUUUUCAUCAUUUGUUCCUAUUUCUAGUGGUUCAGUCUCUUCAUUAAAGGAAUUUUUCAACACAUCAGAA